rnacentral:rRNA from 1 species
CGGGUGGUAAUGCCGGAUGCUCCGGUUGGAUGCAUGUCCUUCCGGGAAAGAUUCUAUCGGUAUGGGAUGGGGUCGCGUCCUAUCAGCUUGAUGGCGGGGUAACGGCCCACCAUGGCUUCGACGGGUAGCCGGCCUGAGAGGGCGACCGGCCACAUUGGGACUGAGAUACGGCCCAGACUCCUACGGGAGGCAGCAGUGGGGAAUAUUGCACAAUGGGCGCAAGCCUGAUGCAGCGACGCCGCGUGCGGGAUGGAGGCCUUCGGGUUGUAAACCGCUUUUGAUCGGGAGCAAGCCCUUCGGGGUGAGUGUACCUUUCGAAUAAGCACCGGCUAACUACGUGCCAGCAGCCGCGGUAAUACGUAGGGUGCAAGCGUUAUCCGGAAUUAUUGGGCGUAAAGGGCUCGUAGGCGGUUCGUCGCGUCCGGUGUGAAAGCCCAUCGCUUAACGGUGGGUCUGCGCCGGGUACGGGCGGGCUGGAGUGCGGUAGGGGAGACUGGAAUUCCCGGUGUAACGGUGGAAUGUGUAGAUAUCGGGA